GACCUCAUGAAGCUGGAAUCGCUAGUAAUCGUGGAUCAGCCACGCCACGGUGAAUACGUUCUCAAGCCUUGUACUCGGGUCGUCAUGCGAUCGAGUAUGCU
rnacentral:ncRNA from 1 species